rnacentral:rRNA from 1 species
GGUUAAGCGACUAAGCGUACACGGUGGAUGCCCUGGCAGUCAGAGGCGAUGAAGGGCGUGCUAAUCUGCGAUAAGCGCCGGUAAGGUGAUAUGAACCGUUAUAACCGGCGAUACCCGAAUGGGGAAACCCAGUGUGACUCGUCACACUAUCAUUAACUGAAUCCAUAGGUUAAUGAGGCGAACCGGGGGAACUGAAACAUCUAAGUACCCCGAGGAAAAGAAAUCAACCGAGAUUCCCCCAGUAGCGGCGAGCGAACGGGGAGGAGCCCAGAGCCUGAAUCAGCAUGUGUGUUAGUGGAAGCGUCUGGAAAGACGCGCGAUACAGGGUGACAGCCCCGUACACAAAAGCGCAUGUGCUGUGAGCUCGAUGAGUAGGGCGGGACACGUGGUAUCCUGUCUGAAUAUGGGGGGACCAUCCUCCAAGGCUAAAUACUCCUGACUGACCGAUAGUGAACCAGUACCGUGAGGGAAAGGCGAAAAGAACCCCGGCGAGGGGAGUGAAAAAGAACCUGAAACCGUGUACGUACAAGCAGUGGGAGCACCCUUUGGGGUGUGACUGCGUACCUUUUGUAUAAUGGGUCAGCGACUUAUAUUCUGUAGCAAGGUUAACCGUAUAGGGGAGCCGUAGGGAAACCGAGUCUUAACCGGGCGUUAAGUUGCAGGGUAUAGACCCGAAACC